rnacentral:rRNA from 1 species
AAUCCAUAGGUUAAUGAGGCGAACCGGGGGAACUGAAACAUCUAAGUACCCCGAGGAAAAGAAAUCAACCGAGAUUCCCCCAGUAGCGGCGAGCGAACGGGGAGGAGCCCAGAGCCUGAAUCAGCAUGUGUGUUAGUGGAAGCGUCUGGAAAGGCGCGCGAUACAGGGUGACAGCCCCGUACACAAAAGCGCAUGUGCUGUGAGCUCGAUGAGUAGGGCGGGACACGUGGUAUCCUGUCUGAAUAUGGGGGGACCAUCCUCCAAGGCUAAAUACUCCUGACUGACCGAUAGUGAACCAGUACCGUGAGGGAAAGGCGAAAAGAACCCCGGCGAGGGGAGUGAAAAAGAACCUGAAACCGUGUACGUACAAGCAGUGGGAGCACCCUUCGGGGUGUGACUGCGUACCUUUUGUAUAAUGGGUCAGCGACUUAUAUUCUGUAGCAAGGUUAACCGAAUAGGGGAGCCGGAGGGAAACCGAGUCUUAAUUGGGCGUUAAGUUGCAGGGUAUAGACCCGAAACCCGGUGAUCUAGCCAUGGGCAGGUUGAAGGUUGGGUAACACUAACUGGAGGACCGAACCGACUAAUGUUGAAAAAUUAGCGGAUGACCUGUGGCUGGGGGUGAAAGGCCAAUCAAACCGGGAGAUAGCUGGUUCUCCCCGAAAGCUAUUUAGGUAGC